rnacentral:rRNA from 1 species
GAUGAACGCUGGCGGCGUGCCUAAUACAUGCAAGUCGAGCGGUAACACUUCGGGUGACGAGCGGCGGACGGCAGAGUAACGCGUAGGAACGUACCCCAAACUGAGGGAUAACUGCUCGAAAGAGUAGCUAAUACCGUAUAAUAUCUCCGGAUCAAAGAUUUAUCGCUGAAGGAUCGGCCCGCGUCUGAUUAGCUAGUUGGUGAGGUAAUGGCUCACCAAGGCUACGAUCAGUAGCUGGUCUGAGAGGAUGAUCAGCCACACUGGGACUGAGACACGGCCCAGACUCCUACGGGAGGCAGCAGUUAGGAAUAUUGGACAAUGGGCGAAAGCCUGAUCCAGCCAUGCCGCGUGUGUGAUGAAGGCCUUAGGGUUGUAAAGCACUUUCGUUGGGGAUGAUAAUGACCGUACCCAAAGAAGAAGCCACGGCUAAAUUCGUGCCAGCCGCCGCCGUAA